AGGAGACUGCAUUUGAGCCAAGAUGUGACAAGACACCAGCUGGAGAAGAGCAAGGAAGACAGCAUCACAGGCAAAAGAUACAGACCGGAAAAGAGUUUCGAAACUUGGGGCACAGGUGUGGAGGCAGGCAAUGAGCCCAAGUAGAAGACAACGGGAAAGAAG
rnacentral:lncRNA from 1 species